rnacentral:misc_RNA from 1 species
UACGAAGGGGGCAAGCGUUGUUCGGAAUUACUGGGCGUAAAGCGUGCGUAGGCGGCCAGGCAAGUUGGGAGUGAAAUCCCGGGGCUCAACCCCGGAACUGCUCUCAAAACUGCCAGGCUAGAAUCUCGGAGAGGAUAGCGGAAUUUCCAGUGUAGAGGUGAAAUUCGUAGAUAUUGGAAAGAACACCAGUGGCGUAGGCGGCUAUCUGGACGAGUAUUGACGCUAAGGCACGAAAGUGUGGGGAGCAAACAGG